CAGCCUGGGGAGCAGCAGAAAGGCUUUACCUGGCUCCUCUCUUGCCCUUGAGAUCUUGACACCAAACUUUGCCUGCAACUCUGAGGUUUGGUGGUGGAAGCAGAGCUUGAAAGCACAGAACACGUCAAGUCAGCCAGAGUCACAAUUCCCACAAAGAAACCUGCUGCAAGAUAAAGAUAUUAAUUAAAAUUGGACAAAGGCACACAGCCUUUCUGCUGCACAUGGGCUGUGUCCAUUGGUGUUCCAGGAGGAUGUGUGAGGAUCUGCAGUAUUUUCACCUCUGCUCCUCUUCCCUGAGGAUGCACCGAGGCUUUGGCUGCCUGAAAGAUGAGGAAUUGCACCCAAACUGGUACCAUGUUGGACCUAAAUUAUGGGCAGCAAGUGGUUAACAAGUCUGCAAGGCUGGAAUGUUGGACAGAGAGUAAAAUAAAGCACCGUGCUGCAGGAAAAACCUAAUGUAUGUAAAUUGAAUGCCAAUUGAUUAAACAUAUUCAUUGAGGUUUCACUUCUAGGUCAUAAGUAAUGUAUCUAUUACAUACUUGUUAAACCUCAUUAAAUAAUUGCCUAGUGGUAUUUAACAUGCAAUAAGUAUCCCCUGAAAUUCAGCUAAAAUGUAUUCCUGCAUUUGCUUAGGAGCUC